UCUUGAUUCUUGGUGUGUUGCAAUUUUUGCAACUAAAUAAGUAUUUCUGUUGUACUACUAAGUAUACCUACCUACUGUGCAUUUACUUUACGUUGCACCUACUGAGUAUAAGGAUGCAUGAGAGAAGAGAGAAUACUUAAGCCCUCCAAAGAGGGCGAAAAUAUUGCGUGAGGCUAUUAGUAUACUACAAUCUGAACACACCGUAACAUACCGAGGUGAAAAAAAGUUACGGAAUACUUACCACCCCCCCCCCCUGCGUGAGCGCAUAUCGAAAGAAGACUGUUCUUCCUCCAGCUGGCCUUGGGGGAUCUUAAGAAGACAUCGUAAUUCGUAAUACAAGUGCAGCGUUUCAGUGUGUUAUACUGUAUAACAUACAAUCUACGUGAGCCCUAUCAUAUGCAGGGAGGGUGAGAGAAGAAGAGUCAAUCGAGCCGAGGGGAGUUGGACGUAGACUUACAGAGUGCUAUUCUCCAAUUUUUGACUCCAGAUUUAUUUUUUCUAAAUGAACACCUAGUUUAUUCGAGAAUGAAAGGUUGUUUAAUUGACUUCUGCUAAAUCCGACAGGGUCGAAUGUGAUGUUUUUUCUCUCUAAAUUUCAUCGUUUGUAUGGGAAUGUGUUAAUUGAACAGUAAUAAUCGAUCAACUUAAUUAACCGUGCAAGAGAAGCUGAUGUUUUAGUGGAUGGUGCCUUGGAAAGCAAUUGAAUUCUACUUAUGUCUCUGCCUAAAUGCAUCCUGAUCCAAGCACGAGUUGAUAGAAUCAUAGAAGCACAGGAUGUCUUCUGUCACUUUUUCGCAAAAGAAAUUUAUACCAGUACCUCCUGAAAAGGGUAGCUUUCCUCUGGAUCACGAAGGUCUCUGUCGCAAUCUUAUGGUCAAGUACAUGCGCUGUCUUUAUGAAAAUAAGAACGUUUCCUCCAACUGCAGAGAUAUAAGUAAAGAUUAUCUUGCGUGUCGUAUGGAAAAUGGAUUAAUGGCCCAAGAAGACUGGACAAAGCUCGGAUUCAACGAACAAGAAAUUGAAAAACAAAAGGAGCAAUGAGAAAGGUUUUCCGUCUUCGUCGUAGAGUGGAUUACCUGGAAUUGGCCUCAGCUGCAGAACAAAGAAAUUCUUCAAAAACCAUUAUCCUGGGUUCUCUUUGAUGUAUCAACGACGAGACGAGCACACACGUUUCAAUCCUAACGGAUCCUGAACAGAUUAAGUUACGCGAUCUCGUGUUUUAUAUGAAUAUAUACAAACAAUAUAUAUUUACAUACAAAAAUAUAUAUAUACAUUAAAUAGAGGAAAAUAUCAGUAAUAUUAAAAUAAAUAUAUGUAUACAAACAGAUAAAAUUAUAUGUAUACAAACGUUAAUGGGGUGUGUGUCGUUGAAAACGGCUUGAAAGCUCGUGCUAGCCACGGUUUAAAAAACUGAAUUUUCGAUAAAAUUAACAUAUCAUUUAAAAAAAAAAACUAAAGUUUACAAUAACUCACGCUUGAAACAAAAACUACAGUCUAACCGAUACGUUAUUAUUGUUAAAAUCCAUCGCAUAAUUCAUGUAUAAAAGCUUCAGCCAAGAAAAAUAAAUCAUUUACAUAAAUUGAAAAAACAAUACUCAUAGCUUUCGCAUAUUUCUCCUGCUGUCGUGAGUAGCGUUGGGAUUUCAAUUAAAACCUUAAAAAAAAAAAAAAAAAAAAAAAAAAAA